AGCCUGAUGCAGCGACGCCGCGUGAGGGAUGACGGCCUUCGGGUUGUAAACCUCUUUCAGUAGGGAAGAAGCGAGAGUGACGGUACCUGCAGAAGAAGCGCCGGCUAACUACGUGCCAGCAGCCGCGGUAAUACGUAGGGCGCAAGCGUUGUCCGGAAUUAUUGGGCGUAAAGAGCUCGUAGGCGGUUUGUCGCGUCUGCUGUGAAAGCCCGGGGCUCAACCCCGGGUCUGCAGUGGGUACGGGCAGACUAGAGUGCAGUAGGGGAGACUGGAAUUCCUGGUGUAGCGGUGAAAUGCGCAGAUAUCAGGAGGAACACCGAUGGCGAAGGCAGGUCUCUGGGCUGUUACUGACGCUGAGGAGCGAAAGCAUGGGGAGCGAACAGGAUUAGAUACCCUGGUAGUCCAUGCCGUAAACGUUGGGCACUAGGUGUGGGGGACAUUCCACGUUUUCCGCGCCGUAGCUAACGCAUUAAGUGCCCCGCCUGGGGAGUACGGCCGCAAGGCUAAAACUCAAA
rnacentral:rRNA from 1 species